UACGUAGGGGGCUAGCGUUGUCCGGAUUUAUUGGGCGUAAAGAGCGUGUAGGCGGCCAGGUAGGUCUGCUGUGAAAACUCGAGGCUCAACCUCGAGACGUCGGCGGAAACCAUCUGGCUAGAGUCCGGAAGAGGAGAGUGGAAUUCCUGGUGUAGCGGUGAAAUGCGCAGAUAUCAGGAAGAACACCCGUGGCGAAGGCGGCUCUCUGGGACGGUACUGACGCUGAGACGCGAAAGCUAGGGGAGCGAACAGG
rnacentral:rRNA from 1 species